rnacentral:rRNA from 1 species
UACAUGGGGUGCAAGCGUUGCUCGGAAUUAUUGGGCGUAAAGCGCGCGUAGGCGGUUACUCAAGUCGGAUGUGAAAGCCCUCGGCUUAACUGAGGAAGUGCACCCGAAACUGAGUAGCUAGAGUACUAAAGAGGGUCGCGGAAUUCCCGGUGUAGAGGUGAAAUUCGUAGAUAUCGAGAGGAACACCGGUGGCGAAGGCGGCGAUCUGGACGGUGACUGACGCUGAGACGCGAAAGCGUGGGGAGCAAACAGG